rnacentral:rRNA from 1 species
UACGUAGGGACCGAGCGUUGUCCGGAUUCAUUGGGCGUAAAGAGCUCGUAGGCGGUCUGUCGCGUCUGCUGUGAAAACUCAGGGCUUAACCCUGAGCUUGCAGUGGGUACGGGCAGACUAGAGUGCGGUAGGGGAGACUGGAAUUCCUGGUGUAGCGGUGAAAUGCGCAGAUAUCAGGAGGAACACCGGUGGCGAAGGCGGGUCUCUGGGCCGUAACUGACGCUGGAGGAGCGAAAGC